UGCCCGGUGGUGUAAUGGUAACACACGAGAUUUUGAUUCUCGUUUUUCAGGUUCGAAUCCUGGCUGGGCAG
rnacentral:tRNA from 1 species